GCACCCGUUCCCAUUCCGAACACGGCCGUGAAACGCCCCAGCGCCGAUGGUACUUCGUCUUAAGACGCGGGAGAGUAGGUCGCUGCCAGGU
rnacentral:rRNA from 1 species